UACGUAGGUCGCGAGCGUUGUCCGGAUUUACUGGGCGUAAAGGGCUUGUAGGCGGUCCGUUAAGUCCGCUGUGAAAUCUCCCGGCUCAACUGGGAGAGGUCAUUGGAUACUGGCGGACUAGAGGGGGGUAGAGGAAAGCAGAAUUCCUGGUGUAGCGGUGAAAUGCGUAGAUAUCAGGAGGAAUACCAGUGGCGAAGGCGGCUUUCUGGGCCUACCCUGACGCUGAGGAGCGAAAGCGUGGGGAGCAAACCGG
rnacentral:rRNA from 1 species